rnacentral:rRNA from 1 species
UGCACCACACCUACGGGUGGCAGCAGUCGAGAAUCUUCGGCAAUGGGCGCAAGCCUGACCGAGCGAUGCCGCGUGCGGGAUGAAGGCCCUCGGGUUGUAAACCGCUGUCGUAGGGGAGGAAGGCUCCGUGCAGAGCGGGGUUUGACCGAUGCUAGGAGGAAGUACAGGCUAACCUCGUGCCAGCAGCCGCGGUAAGACGAGGUGCACAAACGUUAUUCGGAAUUACUGGGCUUAAAGCGUGCGUAGGCGGCAUAGCAAGUCGGGUGUGAAAGCCCUCGGCUCAACCGAGGAAUUACGCCCGAAACUGCUGAGCUAGAGUGAGACAGAGGUGAGCGGAACUGAUGGUGGAGCGGUGAAAUGCGUUGAUAUCAUCAGGAACACCGGUGGCGAAGGCGGCUCACUGGGUCUCUACUGACGCUGAGGUACGAAAGCCAA